AUACAUAUCAAACAAAAAAUGCCAUAUAUCAAACCAAAAAGCCUCGUUGCUGCCCAUGCAAAUAUUCAUGGAUUAGGCAAUUGAUUAGAAAAUGAGGUUUGAAUGAAUACUUUUCAAUUAAUAGAUAUGGCUUUUGUAAUAAAUAACAAAAAUCAUAUUUACAUUGACUGAACUUUCUCAACACAUGAAUUUCAAAAAUGUAAGAUAUUUGUCAACGUCUUUGCUAUUACUCAGGUUCCACCACGUGCAAACACACACAGAAACGAACAAUCUAUCAUGGUGUGCUUAGAGUUUUCCACUCAAUGUUCAUGCGAACUGUAAUCCGCUAGUAUGGUUGACCAUUUCUUUAUCAACAAAAAGAAAUGGUUGACCAUUUUCUAAAAUUAAUUUAGUUAUUUGUUGUAAAAAACAUUCACUAACUUUUCCGGGUUUAUUUCAAUAUUUGUUUUCAUAUACAAACAGGAAAA
rnacentral:lncRNA from 1 species